rnacentral:lncRNA from 1 species
AUGUCCAGAUAAUAUUAUGUAUUUUCUAUAAUUUUAAAAAAUCAAAGACAUAAUAUAAAUUCUUACAUAAAUACAUCUAUUUAAUCUACCAGAUGUAAAUAAAUAAAUAAAUAAAUAAAUUACUUCCAAAUUUUGUUUUGAUCAAUUACAGGAAAACUUUUCCCUUUUCCUUUCUAAAUUGAAACUGGCGUGUAAUCAAAUACAACACUCAAUCAAACCACACUCAACAAGAUACAACACUCAGUCAAACCCAGACCUGUACAAUGUUUACACGAACACUCAUACUCAAAGGAAGCGUGUUUUCAUUCCUCAAGUAGAGCUGUCAAUGAAUCACCAGAAACACAGCACCCAUUUCCUUCAUUCUUCUUCUUCAUUCCAGUCAAGAACACCUCCAUUGGAGGUGUUGUUCUUGUAAGGCCCCGGUGAUUCCUUUCUUUCAUUCCCUGUAAAACAGCAAAACCAAAAACACCAUCUAAAUUUAUUGAUUAAAUCUAUCUUUUUCAGUCAAAUAUCAAACCAAAAAUGCCCCUUUAUCUUCAACAUUCUUAUUCAGAAAUCACAGAAAACCAUUGAAUCAUUGUUUCCAUUUCCUGUGAAAAAUCAAAUCCAAAAGCCACCAAGAUUCCACUGAUUUUCAGUCAAAACAAAAAGAAAGAAAAACAGAGAAUUUCCGUUGUUCUUAUCUCCAUCUCCAUCAAUUUCAGUCAAGACAAACAAAAGAAAGAGAACAUGAUUUCUUUACCUGUUGUUAACUGCUGCCUUCGUCUCCCCUUCGCAAACACCACCGAAUCGCCCUUUCCGUCGCUCUAAUUCUCUUUGGUUACCCAUCGGCCCUAGACCUCCAAAGGUCUCGUCUGCGCUUCCCCACCGAGACCGCAGUAGCUUCGCUGCUUCUCCGUCUCUUCAACCUUGUCAACCCUCGGAGCUAAUCGCCCACGUCGUCGAUCGAUUAGUCUCCUUCGCACCUAGCUGCAGACCGAGAAGAGCGCAUCCGCUGCUUCUCCCUUCGUUCUUCGGUUCGUCGAUUCCCGUAAGCGCUCCCUCGCGAGCAAUCAACCCCAAAUGCUUCGGGUUCUCCUUCUCGCCUGCCUACGCGCUCCAUCUUCUUCACGAUCGGUCACCGACCGGAGGCAAAUGUUUGAUUUCAUUUGCGUUUCUCCCAACUUCGAUCAUCCGUUCCGUGGCUUCAUUUGCCUCCGGUCGGUGAAACGCUUAUGAGCCCUAAUUUCGUUAAGUUUGGACCACUAGGCACAAUCAGUCCCUCCUUCGAAAUAAAUCACCAUCCAAGUCCAAACUCCCUUUUAAUAUAAUCAGAAACAGCCCCCCACCCCACCCCACCCCUUCGGAAACAUUAACAAGUGUGGUCCUAAAACUCCAAAUUAGGGUU